AGCUCAAAUAAUUACAACAUUCUUUUCACUGGGCCUGAGUAGUUUCCAGACAUCAUCACCAGCAAUACCAGGCCUUGGCAUUUAUCUUAAAAACUGACUGUGGGGUUAAUACAUAAGAUGGUUUUACAAUUAGUCGGAGAUGUCUCAGAAGAGUCAACCAUUGAAAGCUCGUUUCAAUCAGAUGUUAUAUUUAAAGAAAUUGAAAAAAGAUUCACUGGUGAAGGAGAGUCGAU
rnacentral:lncRNA from 1 species